rnacentral:lncRNA from 1 species
GUUUGGUAGCAGCUGCUGGACAUAUUCUUCAUUCAUUUCUCUAAUCUCCACUUGAACCCGUAGGUUGCUUUGCUUGAUAAGUCCCUGUGGCACUGAGUUUCACACUUCUUGUUUUAUAUGAAAAAGCACUGCCCUUGGCCUCUCUCUCUAAGCGGCUGCCAGUUUAAAAACAGGCUCUCUAGCUUCCUCUAUUAGAUACAGUAAAUAAUAUCCACCUCCUGCUUUUUUUUUUUUUUUUUUUAACCACUUCAUUCCAUUCAUAAUUUUCGAGAUGUUGAUUCUAUGGUCUCUUAACCAGCUGGUGUGUCCCAAUUUACUUAGCUGCUUCUUGUCUAGAAGUUGUCCUCUACUUUUAACUUUUACUUAGUAUGUUACCAUUUUCGCUAUUCUUUUCUAGUUCUAUUGCUUACUCUGAGACACGCAGUGUGGAGAUGAAUGCAGCAGUGUAAUGAAAGGACCCUGAUGUGCUGCCCAUAGUGUGUAACCUCGUAAGGUUUCUCGUAUGAGUAAGUGCCUGUGGACUUGAGCCAAAGCUUGAACUGAUUAGCCUGAGAAGACCAGUACUAUCACCAGACCGCGUGGUGUCAGAACAAGAUAAAACUGUACAGCUUCUGAAACUCUGUUUAACUGUACUUCCCAGGAGCUUGUUCAGCAAUGUCAAUACAUUAUGGAAUCAAUGGGGAACAGGAAGAAGACAAGCAGGAAACUGUGCAUAUUGUAGGAAAAUAAUACAGAACAUAUGUGCAAGGAUUCCUUCAGGUAACUUUACGCUUAUAGCCAAAAUAAAUUGCAAGAUAGUUUUCAUUUCCAUUACUUCUCUUGGUCUUUUUUUUUUUUUUUUUUUUUUACAAGGUACACUUCCACUAAUUAAAGGUAACUCUUGCUAAUAGAAGCUAAUAGAAGAUAAAUUUUCUGCAGUGUUGCCAGUCCUCAAUAGGUGCGGAGAAAGAUUCAAAAUCUUGAAUCAAAAGUAUUUAUUUUAUCCUGUAGUGCUACAGCUAGUUUUGUAUCUAUAAGAUAUGUGAAGAUGCAUUGUACCUUGUCAUCUGCAUUUCCAACAAGCAAGUAAGAGGUCAAGUGAGCAACAUAUAUCCCCUUUUGUGCAUAACUGCAAGAUUCAAGGGAGUGGUAUAGCUCCAGAGCCUCUGCCAGCAGGUGUGAUAAGCUGUGAGGUGAUGUAUACAUAGUGCUCUGUGCCAGACUGACAAACUCAUGCACUGAGGGAUAGUGCAAAGGUUGUGUAACAUGGGGGCAG